AUUAACCGUGGUCUACGACGGGCCUCCCAAGCAUAAUUUUGAAUGUUUCCUUGAUGCUUUUGGAUCAUAAAUCCAAUUCUAAGCACUCCAUAAUUAAUGUUCGAGUAUGAUAAGUGAAUGCGAAUAGGUUAAAUCAAGAAUUGAAUGUAAGUACGUAUGUGUAGACAUGAUUAUGUAAGCAUUUAGUAAUGUAUAUAGAUAAGUAGAUGUGUAGAUAUGUAGGUGCGUAUGAUUAGACGUAUGAAUAUACGAAUGCACGAAGUAGGAUUUAUCGCCUAUGAAAAGAAUGGGACAGGUAUGCAUGUAUACAUGGUUUCAAUACGUUUGAGUAUGGACGUUACUAAUGAUGUGCUUGAGAUUGGAAUGUAAUGCAGGGAUGAGAACGUCAGACUCUUGUAGAAUUGAAGCCGAACCUGGAAGCCGAACUCGAAACAAAGGAAUCCGAGAGGAUAGUCGAAUGAAUUAAAGUUUAUGUACUACACGGAUUUCUUCUACCACUAUCGAAGAUAAGCGGGCAUAGAUCGAGUCGAAUAACAAGGAUUGUACGGAAAGAACGGUUACGUAAUCUUAAUUUUGUAACACAUUAAUUUGUAAAAAGGGAAGUGAAUUUUGUAAGCUUCUUGAAUGUGUGUAUUAUUUUAAGAUCGUAAAGGAAUUUUUAAAGCUAUU